rnacentral:rRNA from 1 species
UACGUAGGUGGCAAGCGUUGUCCGGAAUUAUUGGGCGUAAAGCGCGCGCAGGCGGUCCUUUAAGUCUGAUGUGAAAGCCCACGGCUCAACCGUGGAGGGUCAUUGGAAACUGGGGGACUUGAGUGCAGAAGGAGGAAAGCGGAAUUCCACGUGUAGGCGGUGAAAUGCGUAGAGAAUCGGGAGGAACACCAGUGGCGAAGGCGGCUACCUGGACCAGCACUGACACUGAGGCACGAAAGCGUGGGGAGCAAACAGG